rnacentral:rRNA from 1 species
GAUGAACGCUGGCGGCGUGCCUAACACAUGCAAGUCGAGCGAGAAAUAAAGUUAUUAAUCUUCGGAAGCGUAACUUUAUGGAAAGCGGCGGACGGGUGAGUAACGCGUAGGCAACCUGCCCUAUACAGGGGGAUAGCCACGGGAAACCGUGAUUAAUACCUCAUAAUACCAAAAAGACACAUGUUUUUAUGGUCAAAGAUUUUAUCGGUAUAGGAUGGGCCUGCGUCUGAUUAGUUAGUUGGUGAGGUAACGGCUCACCAAGGCAGCGAUCAGUAGCCGACCUGAGAGGGUAAUCGGCCACAUUGGAACUGAGACACGGUCCAAACUCCUACGGGAGGCAGCAGUGGGGAAUAUUGCACAAUGGGCGCAAGCCUGAUGCAGCAACGCCGCGUGAGCGAAGAAGGCCUUUGGGUCGUAAAGCUCUGUCCUAGGGGAAGAAAAAAAUGACGGUACCCUUGGAGGAAGCCCCGGCUAACUACGUGCCAGCAGCCGCAGUAAAAC